GGCGUACGGGUGCGUAACAUGUGUGCAACCUACCCUUAUCAAGGGGAUAGCCAUUCGAAAGGAUGAUUAAUACCCUAUAAUAUAUCAGGUGGCAUCAUUUGAUAUUGAAAGCUACGGUGGAUAAGGAUGGGCACGCACAAGAUUAGCUAGUUGGUAAGGUAACGGCUUACCAAGGCGAUGAUCUUUAGGGGUCCUGAGAGGGAGAUCCCCCACACUGGGACUGAGACACGGCCCAGACUCC
rnacentral:rRNA from 1 species